rnacentral:rRNA from 1 species
AUACGUAGGGAGCGAGCGUUGUCCGGAAUUACUGGGUGUAAAGGGAGCGUAGGCGGGAGUGCAAGUCAGAUGUGAAAUACAUGGGCUCAACCCAUGGGCUGCAUUUGAAACUGCAUUUCUUGAGUGAAGUAGAGGUAAGCGGAAUUCCUGGUGUAGCGGUGAAAUGCGUAGAUAUCAGGAGGAACACCGGUGGCGAAGGCGGCUUACUGGGCUUUUACUGACGCUGAGGCUCGAAAGCGUGGGGAGCAAACAGGAUUAGAUACCCUGGUAGUCCACGCUGUAAACGAUGAUUACUAGGUGUGGGGGGACUGACCCCUUCCGUGCCGCAGUUAACAUAAUAAGUAAUCCACCUGGGGAGUACGGCCGCAAGGUUGAAACUCAAAUGAAUUGACGGGG